CUUCGCCAGAGAGUCGCAUAGU
rnacentral:miRNA from 1 species